AUGGCCCACCUCUCUCCGCGCGGAACCCACAGCGCCCCAGGGAAGCCUAAGCGGGGGAAACGGGGCGAGGGCGCUUCGCUGGGAUCCCCUGGGUGGGCGCUGCAUGGCCGCCCCUGCCAAGGCACCCAAGGGGCCAAGGAAAGCCCCCUUAGCGCAGGGAUCCAGGCCCCACGGAAGGCGCUUGGGGGAGCUGGCGGGGGUCUCCCGUCUCCCCUUUCCCCUCCCCCGCGACCCCUUUACCUCUUUGUCCUCGCUCCCGAUUCUCCUUUUCUUUCCCGCAACAUCCAGGGGGGGGUCCUUCCGCCCCUCCUCCCUUUUCCGAAGGCCCCCCCCCCCCCAGUUACGGCGCAGAGCAGCAAUCCGGCGCAGAAGCUCCACGUCCGGGAGAAGCAGGCAGUUCGGGAGGGGGGCUCUCUCCGCUCAUUCCGGAAACAGAAGCCGGAUUGCGGGGAGGAGCAGAAGGAAGAGGUGCGAUAUACGGGGGGGGGGGUUGAGGAUUGUGGGGGCGGCGUGAAAGCAGGUUGUGCCGGGAAGGCAGGGAAAGAAUUGUUUGCGGGGGAGAGAAAAAGGUUUUUCCCCUCCUCACUUACUUCUGGGGAUCAGGAGAGCGCGGGAGGGGCUGAUCCUGGCAAUCCAGCUGCAAAGUGGUCCCCCCCUACAAUGUUUACAUUGAAAAUCCUUUUCCCCCCCCGCCCCACACGCCAUGAUCUUAGAUCCAUUCCAUGUUUUAGGUAUUGGUGCAAAUUGAGCAGCGGGUUUGGGUCUGUGACUCCUGUGUUACGGGGAAAAUGGGGCUUGGGCUUUUGCACACACACACACACACAGAGAGAGAGAGAGAGAGAGAGAGAGAGAGAGAGAGAGAGAGAGAGAGAGAGCCGACACAAUUCCUCCCUUGUGUCUCCGUCAGAGGUAGCACAAUGCGGCCCGGAAGAAAGCAAGGCAGCUGUUGAUCUGUUUGCGCGCAGAGCCCCCCCCCCCAUGCGAGGAGUGAAGCAGCCCAGAACUAAAGCGCGUUGCAAUUUGUACACCCUCAAAUAA
rnacentral:lncRNA from 1 species